CAGUGGAGGAAGGUUCCACGCAGAUGGUUGUCGAUAGGUCUGGUAGCUGACGAGCGUGUUGGUCGGGCAACUGGCCGGGUCGAAGCCACGUGACGAAGGCCGCCUUGGGCUGUGCGCGAUCCAGCGGGCCGUAAUGUGA
rfam:Mesorhizobium loti strain TFLA 01-765 contig_98, whole genome shotgun sequence.